CCUUCUAGGGAUGCCGGGGUGGGGUCUGUCUCACGCCAAGUGGUGCAUCUCUGGUUUGCCCAUGGCCACUUCAGAGCAUCAGGCUAGAGAAGCUUCUGGAACCGAUGCCGCUUGUUAUUUUCUCCCCUUCCUCAUCCUCCUGACUCAGAAGGGAGGGCACGGAACCUGCUGCCUAGUAGGAGAAACAAGAGUGUGGAGUGUGUUGUUGAUGACUCAGAGGCAGGGCACAGCUGGCUUUUGAAAGACGCCUUAUCACACUGCAGAAGGCAUGGCUUGGGAGGAUUUUCUGUGCUGGGCCUUUUCUCUAGACACAUAACCCCAUCCGUGUCAUACAUUCCUACUUCUUUGUGGUCCCCCCAAAAGCAUUUCAAGGAUUGACAAGAGGCAUGAGGAGGACAAGGACAAGAUGGACAAGGUUUGGUGAAUGCCACAGACCUAAUUCUCUCUACUUUCUUUACCAUGAGUGUGGGGAGUUAGGGAAGGACUUCCGAAAGCCUGGCUCCCUCCUCUUCAUGCCCUUCCUUCCUGGUAUCAGCUGCAGAACUUGGGUCUGGUUCUCCUGUAAUGGGGUCCGGGCACCCCACAUUUAAUCUCACAGGUAUUUCAGUCCCUCAGCGUGCAGGACACAAAGGGUUGCUGUGAGAUCCUCAAAGGGAGGGGAUGAGGGAGAGCAUUGUUCCCUUGACCAUGGACAAGAGGGGAUGGGCUAGACCCCUGGGCUCUGGGACCAAACCAAACAGAGGGAAUGUCCCAUGAAUCUUCACGAGUACACCAGUUGAUAAUCUGCAGUGGAACUCAAGAAGACAUCAGCUACUAGAGGGACAGCAGAAGCCCUAUGAAGAGAAAGAUCUUUGGAGGACAAGAGACAGUAAGUAGAAAAUAUUUUAAACAUUCUAGUGAUCUUGCUUCACUACGGGUUGAAAGCUGAAGUUGGUUGAAUGAUGCGCCUCCCCUCAAAAGUCAUGCCCGCAUCCACCUGCCCAUCUGGACCCUCAGAACGUGGUUAUAUCUGGAAAUGAGGUCUUCGUAGAUGAGAUUAGUUCAGGAUCUCAAGAUGAGAUCAUUCGGUUCUUAGUGUGAUUUCUAAGUCCAGUGUGUGCUGUCCUCAUAAAAAGAGGAGAGGACAGAAAGAUGUGGGACAGAUGGCUAUGUGAAGAUAGAAGUGAAAAGUGGAACCAUGUGGCCACAGCCAUAGCCUCAGCCACAGCCACAACCAUAGCCACAGCCUUAGCCACAGUCACAGCCUCAGACACAGACAGACACAGACACAGACACAGCCUCAGACACAGACACAGACACAGACACAGUCACAGACACAGACACAGACACAGCCUCAGACACAGACAGACACAGCCACAGACACAGCCUCAGACACAGCCACAGCCUCAGACACAGACACAGACACAGACACAGUCACAGACACAGACACAGACACAGACACAGCCUCAGACACAGACACAGACACAGUCACAGUCACAGUCACAGACACAGACACAGACACCACAGUUACAAGCCAUAGCCUCAGCCACAGCCACAACCAUAGCCACAGCCUUAGCCACAGUCACAGCCUCAGACACAGACACAGACACAGUCACAGACACAGACACAGACACAGACACAGACACAGACACAGACACAGACACAGACACCACAGUUACAAGCCAUAGCCUCAGCCACAGCCACAACCAUAGCCACAGCCUUAGCCACAGUCACAGCCUCAGACACAGACACAGACACAGACACAGACACAGACACAGACACAGACACAGACACAGACACAGACACAGCCUCAGACACAGCCUCAGACACAGCCUCAGACACAGUCACAGCCUCAGACACAGCCACCACAGCCACAAGCCAUAGCCUCAGCCAUAGCCUCAGACACAGACACAGCCUCAGACACAGACACAGCCAAGGCCUCAGCUAAGGCUUUCCAGAAACAGAGCAAUGGAAGGACAGGUUUAAUUUUUGAAUGGUCUGUCUUCCAGAACUAUGAGAGAUGCUCCAUAAAUUCAUGUCACCUAUCUGGUGGCCUUUUAUUGAUAAAAGUCUAAGGAUGCUAACAGAGCCCAUGUAGGCAUUUUUGGAUUGAAAUGACAAGUGAUAAUGAUAGUAUAGAAAAGGUUUGUUUUGACUCACAAUUUGAGGGUACUGUCCAUACAGAAGGCUUGGGACAGGGGUUCAAGGCAGCAGUUCAUAGUGUGUCUGCAGUCAGGAAGCAAGGUGAGUUCAACUUCCUUUUUCCUUUAUCCAUUUUAUUAAGUCCAGGCCCUAGUCCAUGGUGGUGCUACCCAAGUCAGGGUGGGGCUUCCUUCCUUUGUGGAAACCCCAUUGUAGACACACCCAGAGGUCUGUCUCUGAGGUGAUUCUAAAUCCAGUCAAGCUGUCAAUCAAUAUUAAGUAUCAGGGCCCUCAGAACUUCCUGGAAAAGAACAGUUAUUGUCACUUUGCUGGCCCAGGGCCCAGAGGAAAAGGAGAGGACCGGGGAUUUCUCUCCUCCCCUUGUGCCCACCAGCACUUGAGCUCUGUUUCCUCAGACUCCACAUCCAGUGUCUCUUUAUCUCAACCACAAAUACCUUCCUCUGUACUUGCCAGAGUGCCCUCAGAAAGAUUAUCUCAUUUGAACCUUCCCGACUUUUAAAAUUAUAAACGGCAUGUACAUAGAUCCACAUUUACAGUUCUGUGGUGUCCAAAUCCAAAGCAUCAGUUUCCACAGAAUGCCAAGUGUCGGUUUCCUGUAAACUCAAUCCUCUUCAAUUUUCACUGUUUCUCGUCUUCUGUUUCAGCCUGGUUUUCCCCAUAAUGGGUUUUGCCCUUGUGACUCCUUCCCCUCACUCAUUUGCACAUUUGAAAGCUCAGGCCUGUCUGCUUUCUCAAUCUCAUCUGCCCCCACCACACACACACACACACACACACACACACACACACACACAUGCUUUGAUGCCCUGUUCUUCUUAGCCACACACUAAUAUAGCCCAUGCUCCUUCUUUGUAACUAGAAAUUAACUACUACUCCAUAGCUCUUUUGUCUUCGUUUCUUUCUCAUGGCAAGAAGAAUCCAAAAGUUCUUAGGUUCACAAGGCAGGGGCCUAUGCUCCUGCAGACCGGCCUUCCUUGUAGAGACAGCUUUGCUCCUACAAGAGAGCCCAGAGCCACACAACCAAGCCAGCUCUAUGCUCACAGUCUACAUGGCCAACAGAAGGGCCAUGUGAUGAUGGCUUGUGGAGUCUUGGUUCAUGGAGUGGCACUAUUAAGAGGUGUGGCCUUGUUGGAGGGAAUGUGUCCCCGUGGGUGUAGGCUUUAAGACCCUUGUCCUAGCUGCCUGGAAGUCAGUAUUCUGCCUUCAGAUGAAGAUGUAGAACUCUUAGCUCCUCCUGCACUGUGCCUGCUUGGAUGCUGCCAUGUUCCUGCCUUGAUGAUAAUGGACUGAACCUCUGAAUCUGCAAGCCAGUGCCAAUUAAAUGUUGUCCUUCUAAGAGUUGCCAUGGUCAUGGUGUCUGUUCACAGCAGUUAGCCCUAAGACAGACGAUGGAUCUCUUUACCAUUUUAGAGUUCCAGGCUCGCAGCUCCAGGCUUUCUGACAUCCAUCACUCCACUCACUCUCUUUCGUGUCAAGGUACGCACGUGUGGGCAGCAGGCUGUGCAUGUGCACCAAUGCGCACAUGUAUGUGGAGGCCAGAAAUCAAUCCAAGGUGUCAUUUUCAGGUCAUAUCCCCUUGGUCUUGUGGUGGUGGUUGUUGAGACAACACCUGUUGCUGUCCUG